AACGUAGGACGCAAGCGUUAUCCGGAGUUACUGGGCGUAAAGCGCGGGCAGGCGGUCUGUCAAGUGGGAUGUGAAAGCGCCCGGCUAAACCGGGCGAGGCCAUUCCAAACUGAUGGGCUGGAGGGCAGUAGAGGUAGGCGGAAUUCCGGGUGGAGUGGUGAAAUGCGUAGAGAUCCGGAGGAACACCAGAGGCGAAGGCGGCCUACUGGGCUGCACCUGACGCUGAGCCGCGAAAGCUAGGGGAGCGAAC
rnacentral:rRNA from 1 species